GAGGGGCUGCAAGCUGGUAAACCGUCAUUUUGUUAAGUGAUUCAGCUACAGAGCACCGGACUUUUAAUCCGGGUGUCGAGGGUUCGAAACCCUCCCGGCUCACCA
rnacentral:tRNA from 1 species